GGGGACCAUCCUCCAAGGCUAAAUACUCGUGAUCGACCGAUAGCGUACUAGUACUGUGAAGGAAAGGUUAAAAGAACCCCGGGAGGGGAGUGAAAUAGAUUCUGAAACCGCAUGCAUACAAACAGUAGGAGCCCUUCGGGGUGACUGCGUACCUUUUGCAUAAUGGGUCAGCGACUUAUGUUAUGUGGCAAGCCUAACCGACUAGGGGAGGCGCAGCGAAAGCGAGUCCGAACAGGGCGAUUCAGUCGCAUGGCAUAGACCCGAAACCAGAUGAGCUAACCAUGGCCAGGCUGAAGGUGUGGUAACACACACUGGAGGGCCGAACCUACUGGUGUUGCAAAACCAGAGGAUGAGCUGUGGUUAGGGGUGAAAGGCUUAACAAAUCUGGAGAUAGCUGGUUCUCCCCGAAAACUAUUGAGGUAGUGCCUUGCGCAUGAGCUUCUGGGGGUAGAGCACUGUUAUAGCUAGGGGGACAUGGCGUCUUACCAAACUAUGGCAAACUCCGAAUACCAGAAAGCUUCGCGCGGGAGACAGAGCACCGGGUGCUAACGUCCGGACUCAAAAGGGAAUCAACCCAGACCGCCAGCUAAGGUCCCUAAUAUCAGCUAAGUGGAAAACGAAGUGGAAAGGCUAAAACAGUCAGGAAGUUGGCUUAGAAGCAGCCAUCCUUCAAAGAAAGCGUAAUAGCUCACUGAUCGAGUCCUUCCGCGCGGAAGAUGUAACGGGGCUAAGUUGAUAACCGAAGCUGCGGAUUCACACUUUGAGUGUGAGUGGUAGGGGAGCGUUCUGUAAGCCUGUGAAGGUGGAUCGUAAGGUCUGCUGGAGGUAUCAGAAGUGCGAAUGCUGACAUGAGUAACGAUAAAGCGGGUGAAAAGCCCGCUCGCCGCAAACCCAAGGUUUCCUGCUCUACGUUAAUCGGAGCAGGGUGAGUCGGUUCCUAAGGCCAGGCUGAGAAGCGUAGCUGAUGGAAAUCAGGUUAAUAUUCCUGAACCGGCGUUGAAUGCGAUGGGGUGACGGAGCAGCCAGAGUGGACCGGGUGUUGGAUGUCCCGGCUUCCGAGCGAUGGGUGCCUGCAGGCAAAUCCGCAGGCGUAUACCCAGGACGAAGGAUCGGGCCUUCUUUUGAAGGCGAAGCCACUGGAAGCGCUUCCAGGAAAAACCUCUAAGCUUCAGUUCAACGGCGACCGUACCGUAAACCGACACAGGUGGGUGAGCUGAAUAUGCUCAGGCGCUUGAGAGAACUCGGGAGAAGGAACUCGGCAAAUUGACACCGUAACUUCGGAAGAAGGUGUGCCUUUGUAGCUUGACGGGAGAGAAACCCGAAGGGCGAAGAGGUCUCAGAGAAUCGGUGGCUGUAACUGUUUACUAAAAACACAGCGCUCUGCAAAGAUGAAAGUCGACGUAUAGGGCGUGAUGCCUGCCCGGUGCUGGAAGAUUAAUUGAUGGGGUGCAAGCUCCUGAUCGAAGUCCCAGUAAACGGCGGCCGUAACUAUAACGGUCCUAAGGUAGCGAAAUUCCUUGUCGGGCAAGUUCCGACCUGCACGAAUGGCAUAAUAAUGGCCACACUGUCUCCUCCCGAGACUCAGUGAAAUUGAAAUGUUUGUGAUGAUGCAAUCUCCCCGCGGCUAGACGGAAAGACCCCAUGAACCUUAACUGUAGCUUUGCAUUGGACUUUGAACCGAUCUGUGUAGGAUAGGCGGGAGGCUUUGAAGAAUGGACGCCAGUUCAUUCGGAGCCGUCGUUGAAAUACCGCCCUGAUUUGUUUGAGGUUCUAACCUGGGCCAGUGAUCCUGGCUGGGGACCGUGCAUGGUGGGCAGUUUGACUGGGGCGGUCUCCUCCUAAAGGGUAACGGAGGAGUGCGAAGGUACGCUAAUCACGGUCGGAAAUCGUGAGGAUACUGCAAUGGGAAAAGCGUGCCUGACUGCGAGACAGACAAGUCGAGCAGAUGCGAAAGCAGGUCAUAGUGAUCCGGUGGCUUCUGUAUGGAAGGGCCAUCGCUCAACGGAUAAAAGGUACU
rnacentral:rRNA from 1 species